rnacentral:rRNA from 1 species
CCGUGUACGUACAAGCAGUGGGAGCACAGGUUUACCUGUGUGACUGCGUACCUUUUGUAUAAUGGGUCAGCGACUUAUAUUCUGUAGCAAGGUUAACCGUAUAGGGGAGCCGGAGGGAAACCGAGUCUUAAUUGGGCGUUAAGUUGCAGGGUAUAGACCCGAAACCCGGUGAUCUAGCCAUGGGCAGGUUGAAGGUUGGGUAACACUAACUGGAGGACCGAACCGACUAAUGUUGAAAAAUUAGCGGAUGACCUGUGGCUGGGGGUGAAAGGCCAAUCAAACCGGGAGAUAGCUGGUUCUCCCCGAAAGCUAUUUAGGUAGCGCCUCGUGAAUUCAUCUCCGGGGGUAGAGCACUGUUUCGGCUAGGGGGCCAUCCCGGCUUACCAACCCGAUGCAAACUGCGAAUACCGGAGAAUGUUAUCACGGGAGACACACGGCGGGUGCUAACGUCCGUCGUGAAGAGGGAAACAACCCAGACCGCCAGCUAAGGUCCCAAAGUCAUGGUUAAGUGGGAAACGAUGUGGGAAGGCCCAGACAGCCAGGAUGUUGGCUUAGAAGCAGCCAUCAUUUAAAGAAAGCGUAAUAGCUCACUGGUCGAGUCGGCCUGCGCGGAAGAUGUAACGGGGCUAAACCAUGCACCGAAGCUGCGGCAGCGAACGUAUCACCCAAGACAACUUUACGGAGUUGACGAUUGACGGAGCGAAGCGACGUCAAAGCGUUCAUUAAAGUCGAGUUGGCUUAGGGAUACGUUCGUUGGGUAGGGGAGCGUUCUGUAAGCCUGUGAAGGUGUGUCGUGAGGCAUGCUGGAGGUAUCAGAAGUGCGAAUGCUGACAUAAGUAACGAUAAAGCGGGUGAAAAGCCCGCUCGCCGGAAGACCAAGGGUUCCUGUCCAACGUUAAU